rnacentral:lncRNA from 1 species
UCGUAAUAAGAAUAAUAAUAGUAAUAAUAAUAAUAAUAAAAUACACCAGUUAUCUAUAUUAUGCUAAUUUUACUAUGAUCCCAUAAAUUUAUUCUAUUUAAAUUAAUACAAAUUCAAAAUCAUAUAUCAUUAAAAAUAUAAAAAAUCUCCGAGAUCUAAUUUAAACCAAAAAGUAUGAAAUCAAACAAAAAGUCAAUCAAAACGAUACUAUCCUGUAUAUUAAAAUAAUCCAAGUGAAUUUAAGACCAGAUAUGAUUAAGCCAUUCACUGAUAAAUUUCAUCAGAAUAAUAGCGGAUGGCAACGGAAAAAUGGGGACGGGGCAGGCUGGUGACUUUUUCCAAAUCUCCGGCGUGAACGAAAACGGAGGAGGAGGAGUGACAGCCUUGUUUUUCGGCGAAGAUGGGUUUGGUCGGUGGUUUUUCGCUGAUUUUGGGUUCGGUGGCAGGCGGGAGGUGACUGUGGAUCGACGGGAAAGGGAAUAGGGACAGGGCCAAGCUGAAGACGCCAUUUCCGGCAUGUAACAGUUCCGGGUGGAGCCGUUUUGGUGACUGUUUCGCCGAAAAAGAUGACGGCGGCACGACUGAUUAAGAAACAACGGCGGUAUCCAUGGGGUUUUGCCGAAAACGGGACGGGAAAAAGGACGGCACGCAAUGAAUUGGUUCACCUGCGCCGAUCAAUGGAAAAAGACAUUUUUCCCGGCGAGAUUUAGCUGGUUUUUUCAGCCAUUUCUCGCUGGAUUUCGAGCAAAAAUGGCUAAUUGGCGCUUUUGAGUGAGAAACAAGAACAUCCGGCGGCAAAACAUUUUAGGGACGGUACCGACGGUGUAUUUACCCCCAAAACAAUGACCACGCCGUCAGUUUUCUCUUUCUCACCUUCACCACUUUUCCCCCUCCGUUCAAUCUCUAAAAUUCUCAAUUUCCCCUUAAUUUUUCUGUCAAUUACAUUACUGUAUGUGUUGGUGUGUGAAAGAUAGUGUAUUGUGAAGAGAAAAAUACAAUGCAAAUGGUGUGUGCAGUGUAUUUUGGUAGUGAUCAUUUUUCAUUAUUUUUUUUACUGACAUAUUUUUUCUCACUGUCUGUAUACAUAUUCUCCAUUUGGGCGUGUUUAUUGAUGCGUGAAUACAGAAUUUUUCUCGUGUACAACUAUAAAUAUUCAAUAAUUUAAUUUAUGUAAUAUAUAACAACAAAAAUUCACAUAGUUGAUCAAUUUCACAUAUUAAAUAAUAUAAUGAAAUUACUUGAACAAUUUUGUUCAUACUUUUCUAUAGUAGAUUUAUAAUGUAAAUAGUAUAGGGUUCAAGAAAAAUUUGUAAUGAAUUAAAUUGAAUAAUACCCAAAAAAA